rnacentral:lncRNA from 1 species
GUGGAUUGUUCUGUUAGGCAAAACCUGUUAAGCAAAAGGCAAGUAGGUAUAACUGUCAUUGUAAACCAUUAUGUAUAUAUUUAGUUUUAUUUUUGUCACAAUGUUAUAAAAUAACUAAAUCAGAAUGAUAUUUUGGUGUUUUUUCGAUAUAUAUAGCGUGGCUCUGUCCUUUUACAUCCUUUCAUUGUGUAAUUGUAAAACAUGUGUAUAUGCUUGUCUUUAAAUUUUGCUAUGCAAUUUGUCUAUAGGCCUUUUAUAUGUUUCUUCGAUACAUAUAUGACGUGUCUCUGUAUUCUAUAUACCGUCAAUAUGUUCAUGUACUAUGAUAAAUUGGUGUAUUCUUGUCUUUAAUUUUUGCUUAUAUGCUUGGUCUAUAAGCCAUUUUGUGCUUCAUUGAUACACAUUUGUUUGUUUGGUUGUGGUUUUUUUUUGUGAUUAAGAUUAUGACAUAAUGUUGACUGCUGUAUUCCUAUUUUUGAUAUUUUUGACAGUUUUGCCUAUUAUGUCUGUUUGUUUUGUUCACAGUUCACGCAUCGUUG